rnacentral:tRNA from 1 species
GGGGGACAGGCUCGAUUGGGAGAGCGCCGGACUCCAAACCCGGUAUUGCUCGGUUCGAUUCCGAGGUCCCCUGCCA